UACAGAGGGUGCAAGCGUUGUUCGGAAUUAUUGGGCGUAAAGCGCGCGUAGGCGGUCUUGUAAGUCAGAUGUGAAAGCCCCGGGCUCAACCCUGGAAGUGCAUAUGAUACUGCAAGACUUGAAUCUCGGAGAGGGUGGUAGAAUUCCCAGUGUAGAGAUGAAAUUCGUAGAUAUUGGGAGGAAUACCAGUGGCGAAGGCGACCACCUGGACGAAGAUUGACGCUGAGGUGCGAAAGCGUGGGGAUCAAACAGG
rnacentral:rRNA from 1 species